rnacentral:rRNA from 1 species
UACGGGGGGAGCAAGCGUUGUUCGGAUUUACUGGGCGUAAAGGGCUCGUAGGCGGCCAACUAAGUCAGACGUGAAAUCCCUCGGCUUAACCGGGGAACUGCGUCUGAUACUGGAUGGCUUGAGUUCGGGAGAGGGAUGCGGAAUUCCAGGUGUAGCGGUGAAAUGCGUAGAUAUCUGGAGGAACACCGGUGGCGAAGGCGGCAUCCUGGACCGACACUGACGCUGAGGAGCGAAAGCCAGGGGAGCAAACGGG